UACGUAGGGCGCAAGCGUUGUCCGGAAUUAUUGGGCGUAAAGAGCUCGUAGGCGGCCUGUUGCGUCCGCUGUGAAAUCCUAGGGCUUAACCCUGGGCUUGCAGUGGAUACGGGCAGACUAGAGGUAGGUAGGGGAGAAUGGAAUUCCUGGUGUAGCGGUGAAAUGCGCAGAUAUCAGGAGGAACACCGGUGGCGAAGGCGGUUCUCUGGGCCUUACCUGACACUGAGGAGCGAAAGCGUGGGGAGCGAACAGG
rnacentral:rRNA from 1 species